rnacentral:tRNA from 1 species
AGCCAAGUAAUUUAAAAAAAAUGUUGGACUGUUAAUUCAAUUUUGUGGUGUAUUUAAAACCACCUUGGUG